ACGGGACCGCACAAGCGGUGGAUGAUGUGGUUUAAUUCGAUGCAACGCGAAAACCUUACCACCUUUGACAUGUACGGAAUCCUUUAGAGAUAGAGGAGUGCUCGAAAGAGAGCCGUAACACAGGUGCUGCAUGGCUGUCGUCAGCUUGUGUCGUGAGAUGUUGGGUUAAGUCCCGCAACGAGCGCAACCCUUGUCAUUAGUUGCUACAUUCAGUUGGGCACUCUAAUGAGACUGCCGGUGACAAACCGGAGGAAGGUGGGGAUGACGUCAAGUCCUCAUGGCCCUUAUAGGUGGGGCUACACACGUCAUACAAUGGAUGGUACAAAGGGUCGCCAACCCGCGAGGGGGAGCCAAUCCCAUAAAGCCGCUCUCAGUUCGGAUUGCAGGCUGCAACUCGCCUGCAUGAAGCCGGAAUCGCUAGUAAUCGCGGAUCAGCAUGCCGCGGUGAAUACGUUCCCGGGCCUU
rnacentral:rRNA from 1 species